rnacentral:rRNA from 1 species
CUUGCAACCCACAAUUUCUCCGAAGAAUCUAAGAUUGGACAAGGAGGAUUUGGCAAAGUCUAGAAGGGACUAUUGGGUGGUCAAGAAGUCGCAAUCAAUAGGCUAAGUAGAGAUUCUCAACAAGGAACAAAAGAAUUAAAGAACGAAGUAAUUCUAAUUGCAAAAUUGCAACAUAGAAAUUUGGUUCGACUUCUUGGGUGUUGUGGUGAAGGAGAUGAAAAGCUCUUGAUAUAUGAGUAUCUGCCUAACAAGAGCUUAGAUGCUACCCUAUUUGAUGACUCAAGAAAAUUGUUAUUGGAUUGGACAACACGGUUUAAUAUAAUCAAAGGAGUUGCAAGGGGGCUUCUAUAUCUUCACGAAGACUCAAGGUUCACCAUAAUUCAUAGGGAUCUAAAAGCUGGAAAUAUUUUGUUGGAUGCAUAUACGAAACCCAAGAUAGCGGAUUUUGGUAUGGCGGGGAUCUUUGGUGAUAACCAGCAAAAUGAAAAUACUCAACGCGUAGUUGGAACAUAUGGCUACAUGGCUCCUGAGUAUGCAAUGGAAGGUGUAUUCUCUACCAAAUCUGAUGUCUACAUCUUCGGCGUAUUACUAUUGGAGGUUAUAACUGGUAUAAGGAGAAAUUCCAAUUGUGAAACCAUGGGCUUUUCCAUCCUCGCUCUUCAUGUGAGUACAUACAAGACAUCUAUCAAGUUCCAUUUCUAA